rnacentral:rRNA from 1 species
UACGGAGGGUGCUAGCGUUGUUCGGAAUUACUGGGCGUAAAGCGCACGUAGGCGGCUGUUCAAGUCAGAGGUGAAAGCCCGGGGCUCAACCCCGGAACUGCCUUUGAAACUAGACAGCUAGAAUCUUGGAGAGGUCAGUGGAAUUCCGAGUGUAGAGGUGAAAUUCGUAGAUAUUCGGAAGAACACCAGUGGCGAAGGCGACUGACUGGACAAGUAUUGACGCUGAGGUGCGAAAGCGUGGGGAGCAAACAGG